UAAUAUUGUAAUUAACCAAUGGAUAUCACACAAGCACACGUGCAAACUUGCGCAAGAGUAAUGCUGGUGAACGUCUUAAUCUGAGGCAAUUCACUAUGCAGAAAGUGAAAGUAAAAGCGGAAUGAUGGAGCUUUCGCCAUCUGACGCCGCAAAUUCUCUCAGAGACGACGAGAG